rnacentral:rRNA from 1 species
GAUGAACGCUGGCGGCGUGCCUAAUACAUGCAAGUCGAGCGCACAGACGAGGAGCUUGCUCCUCUGACGUUAGUGGCGGACGGGUGAGUAACACGUGGAUAACCUACCUAUAAGACUGGGAUAACUUUGGGAAACCGUAGCUAAUACCGCAUAAUAUAUUUAAUCGCAUGGUUAUAUAGUGAAAGAUGCUAUUGCUGUCCCUUAUAGUUGACUCCGCUCCGAUUUAGUUAGUUGGUAAGGUAACGGUCUACAAAGGCAACGAUCCUUAGCCGACCUGGGAGGGUGAUCGGCCACACUGGAACUGAGACACGGUCCAGACUCCAACGGGAGGCAGCAGAGGGGAAUCUUCCGCAAUGAGCGAAAUCCUGACGGGGCAAGGCCGCGUGAGUAAUGAGGGUCUUCGGUUCGUAAAACUCUGUUAUAGAGGAAGAAGAAAUGGGUAAGUAACAAUUCACAUCGUGACGGUACCUAAUCAGAAAGCCACGGCUAACUACGUG